ACAGGCACCCACCAUUAUGCCUGGCUAAUUUUUGUAUUUUUAGUAGAGACGGGGUUUCUCCAUGUUGGCCAGGCUGGUCUUGAACUCCUGACCUCAGGUGAUCUGCCUGCCUUGGCCUCCCAGAGUUCUAGGAUUACAGGCGUGAGCCACUGCGCCCAGCCGCUUUCUACUCUUAAGAUGGCACCUUCUUGCUGUGUCCUCAGACAGUGUAAGGGCAAAAGAAAGGGACUAGGGUGCUCCCUUCAACCUCCGUUAUAAGGUCACUGUAUUAGUCCAUUUGUGUUGCUAUAAAGGAAUACCUGAGGCUGUGUAAUUUAUGAAGAAAAGAGGUUUAUUUGGCUCACAGUUCUGCAGGCUGUACAGGCAUGGCACCAGCAUCUGUUCAGCUUCUGGCGAAGCCUCAGAUAGCUUACAGUCAGAAAGCUUACAGGAAGGAAAAGGGGGAGCCAGUGUGUCCCAUGAAAAGACAGGGAGCAAGAGAGAGAGAGGAGGACGUGCUAGGCUUCUUUACACAAUGAGCUCUCACCCCGUCUGUACUAAAAAAAUACAAAAAAUUAGCCGGGCGCCGUGGCGGGCACCUGUAGUCCCAGCUACUCAGGUAGGCUGAGGCAGGAGAAUGGCGUGAACCCGGGAGGCGGAGCUUGCAGUGAGCCGAGGUCGCACUACUGCACUCCAGCCUGGGUGACAGAGCGAGACUCCGUCUCAACAACAACAACAACAACAAAAACCAAUCAGCUCUCACAUGAACUUAACAGAGUAAGAACUUACUCAUUAGCAUAGGGAGGAUAUCAAGCCAUUCAUGAGGGAUCUGCCCCCAUGACUCAAACACCUUUUAUUAGGCCCACCCCAACAUUGGAGGUCUCAUUUCAACAUGAGAUUUGGAGGAAACAAAAUAUCCAAACCAUGUCAGUCACUAAUCCCAUUCAUGAGGGCUCUGCCCUUAUGACUUAAUCACCUCCCAAAGGCUUCACUUUUAAUACAAUCACACUGGCAAUUAAGUUUCAACACAUUAAUUUUGGGGGACACAUUUGGACCAUAGCAGAGGUGAACAGAAGGAACGUAUACAACUUCUAAAUUGCACAUUGCCCUGCAUCUUCCGCCCUUCCUGUUCACUGGAAUGGGAAUUUGGGGGUCAAUCAUGUUGGACCCUGUGGCUGAGGAGAACAUUCUGGAUGGUGGAGGUUCAAGACAAAAGAAGCUCAGAGCCCUGAUGACUUUGUACAGCAGAACCAUCACACCAGCUCAGCUCUCUCAUGGCAGAGAAAUAAAAUUCUCUCUUGUUUAAGCUGCUCUCAUGUGUGGUCUUCUAGUUAUAGCUGCCAAAAUCUAUUCCAUAACUAAUCCAGUAUAUCUGAAAGGAGAGUACUGUCAUAAAAGAGUCUCAUAGACAUGACACUGGCUUCUUAGUGCACAGGAAAAAUAAAAUUCUAAGGCCCCUCAACCAGCUGAAUAGACCCCCUCCUCUCAGCCAAGGGCAUUCCAAAGCUCACCUGAAAAACUAGUUCAGGCCAGGAGGGGAAGGAGAAGCCAGAUGUGUCUCAUUAACCUCCUCUCUUUUGGAAUUACUGCUAGGACAGACUCUUCAAGUUUGAUAAGAAACAUUUACAAUCUAUUCUCUCUGAAGCCUGUGGUGAAGCUGUGGGGAGGCUUCACCUGCACGGUAAAACCUUGAUUUCCACAACCCCUUAUUGAAACCCAGACAUUCCUUUCUAUUGAUAAUAACUCUUUCAACCAAUUAUCAAUCAGAAAAUCUUUAAAUCUACCUAUGACCUAGAAGCCCCUCCACCUCAAAUUGACCCGCCUUUCCAGACCAAACCAAUGUACACAUUACAGAUAUCGAUGGAUGUCUCAUGUCUCUCUAAAAUAUGUAAAAGCGAGCUGUGCCCCGACCACCUUGGGUACAUAUUGUCAGGAACUCCUGAGGCUGUGUCAUGGGUGCAUGCUUAACUUUGGCAAAAUAAGCCUUUUAAAUGGAUUGAGACCUGUCUCAGAUAUUUUUGGUUUACAAAAGUCAGGUGGAGAAGACAUCAAUAUUGCCGACUGGCAAGUGGGUGACCCUCAUUGUGCUCUGGCAAAAGACUCAGGAAAACUGUCAUCUGUGGUCCUUUGGCAGGGAGACCACAUGAUCUCUGAGCCUGUAACUCUAGGACAACUUGAGAAUCAGUGAGUAUCGACGACUUGCUGCUUUCAGCAAAUUCCUGGAAAAGAGGGGUGAAUGCAGUGGGGUUAAACCUGGCCAGUCUGCAAGAAGAGAGGGAAGGGAAUAUAGUUUGGCCAAGAGAACCCACUGCCUGCUGCCUGUCAUCUAAGUUGACUGGGAGUCUCGGAAUUUGGAGCUUUGAAGAGUUAGAAGACCCAAGCGCCUUCUAGAUCCCAAAUGGAAGCAGCGACCUAAGUUGGUGCUGCGGAGACAGCCGUAGUGGGAGUCCUAUGUGGCUAUAACUAAGUUCUAGCCAAUGGGAUGUGAAUCAAGUGCUGGUACAAGUCUAGAUCAUGCCAUAAAAAGGCAGAAGACACUGUCUCCUUCCCCUGUCCUGAUGGCUGGAAGGUGGACUGUUGGAGAGGCACGCUUGACUGUGGAAGGAGCUUGGAUCUCAACAACAUUGCAGAGCUGAACAAGCAUGCCAGUUAGGACUUGGAUGCGAGAGAGAAAUGAACUUGGUUAAACCACUGGUAUUUGGGGAUUUUCUUGUUAUAGCAGCGGAGCAUUAAACCUAAUGUAAUUGCACCUUAAUUACUACAAUACAAUGGAAUAAGUGCACUAGUAUGGGCAUGUGCAAGGCGUCAUGGGAGUGCAGUGAAAAUGGUGAUUAAUUAACUCUGUCUGGGAGAAAUCUGGGAAGCCUUCCAACAGGGGGUGAUAUUUGAAAUUAGUCUUGAAGGGUAGGAGAAUUUCCCAGAUGCACAAGUAAUGUGAAAGGGGAGCAGUUACUUGACAGUUGGGCAGUUUGAGCAAAAGCUUGAAGUGAUGUAAGCACCUGGUGAAAGGUCCAGAGUCAUAAGGAGGGGGACAGGGUCCUGGGAGACAGGACCGUGAGGGAGAUGGGGUGGUUGUGAGGGAGCUUGAAUGUCCUGUUACAGAGUUUAGACUUUAUCAUUUGGAACCACUCAGGGGCUUGAUGAGGAAGGAACGCAAUCUGAUUUUUUUCUUUUUUUGAGAUGGAGUCUCACUCUGUCCCCCAGGCUGGAGUGAGUUCCCCAAUCAUAGCUCACUGCAGCCUCUACCUCCUGGCCUCAAGCGAUCCUCCUACUUUAGCCUCUCAAGUAGCUGGGGCUAUAGGCAUACACCACCAUACCCAGCUAAUUUUUAAAAAUGUUCGUAGAGACAGGGCUCGCUAUGUUGCCCAGGCUGCUCUUGAACUCCUGGUCUCAAGUGAUCCUCCCACCUUGGCCUCCCAAAGUGCUGGGAUUACAGGUAUGAGCCACACCACUUGGUCUGAUUUCUUUAAAAAAGGUAGGUCUGGGCCGGGCAUGGUGGCUCAUGCCUGUAAUCCCAGCACUUUGGGAGGCCGAGGCAGGUGGAUCAUGAGGUCAGGAGAUCGAGACCAUCUGGGCUAAUGUGGUGAAACCCCGUCUCUACUAAAAACAUAAAAAAUUAGCCAGGCGUGGUGGCGGGUGCCUAUAGUCCCAGCUACUUGAGAGGCUGAGGCAGGAGAAUGGCAUGAACCCAGGAGGCAGAGCUUGCAGUGAGCCAAGAUCGCACCACUGCACUCCAGACUGGGAGAGAGAGCAAGACUGUGUCUCAAAAAAAAAAAAAAAAAAAAGGUAGGUCUGGCAACAGUGUGUGAGAUGGAUUUGAGAAGAGGAGGCCCAGGGCAGACGGAGGGAACUAUGUAAAUAUCACAUAAGCCAAUUCUUAUUUUCCCAGAGAAACAAUAUAUUAAUAAAGGAUUAUGUUCCUGGCCAUGGAACUGAUAUACAAAAUUUUAUAGAACUGACCACAAAAUCAAACUCAGGCAGCUAUCAAGGAUACACCCAUAAUCUGUACAUCACAAAAUUUUCUAACUAGUAUAUGAAUAAUUAAGCAGGGCCACACAGUAAUGAAAUAUUAAAAUGCAUGAUGUAAUACAAUAUCCUUAGUCUCAUAUUUCUGCCUUACAAAAGCAAUCAGUUAUUUCUUAACAGCUUUAUUGAGGUAUAAUUGACUUAUGAUAAACUGCACAUAUUUCAAGUGUACCUAAUGUGAUAAGUUUUGACAUAUUUAUACACCCUUGAAACCAUCACCACAAUCAAGUAAAUGAAUUUUUCAUCACCCUAAAAGUUUCCUCCUAUGCAAUCCUUCCUUCUACCUCUUUCCCAUUCCCCCCAUCCCCAGGAAAUCACUGAUCUGCUUUUUGUCACUAUAGUUUGAAUUUUUUAGAGUUUUAUAUAAAUGGACUCAAACAGCAGGUAUUCUUUUUUGCCUAGCUUCUUUCUUUCAGCAUUAUUAUUUUGAGAAUCAUCCCUGUUGCAGUAUGUAUCAAUACUUCAUUCUUUACAAUGCUGAGUAAUAUUCCAUUGUAUAGAUAUAACACAGUUUGUUUAUCCAUUCAUCUGUUAAUGGACAUUUUGGUCGUUUCCAGUUUUAGGCUAUUACAAAUAAAGCUGGUAUGAGCAUUGAUGAAUAAGUCUUUGUAUGGACACUUUUAUUGCUCUGGACAAAUACCUAGGAGUGGAAUGGCUGGAUUGCACAAUAUGUGUAUGUUUAACAUUUUUUUUUUUUUUUUGAGAUGGAGUUUCACUCUUGCUGCCCAGGCUGGAGUACAAUGGCAUGAUCUUGGCUCACCGCAACCUCCUCCCGGAUUCAAGCAAUUCUCCUGACUCAGCCUCCUGAGUAGCUGGAUUACAGGCAUGUGCCACCACGCCCGGCUAAUUUUGUAUUUUUAGUAGAGAUGGGGUUUCUCCAUGUUCGUCAGGCCGGUCUUGAACUCCCAACCUCAGGUGAUCUGCCUGGCUCAGCCUCCCAGAGUACUGGGAUUACAGGUGUGAGCCACCGCACCAGGCCACAGUAUGCGUAUGUUUAACUUUUUAAGAAAUUGUCCAAAUGUUUUCCUAAGUGUUUGGUGGUUGUACCAUUUAAGUUCUCAUUAGCUGUGUAUGAAAAUUCCAGUUCCUCCACAUCCCUGCCAACACUUGGUAUAGUCAGUCUUUUUUAUUUUAGCUAUUCUAAUAGUUAGUGGAAUGAGAGGUCUUGUAUCCAUUUUUUUAGGCUGCUUUCUUCUUAUUAAAUUUAAAAAAAUUUUUAGAGACAGGGUCUCUUUCUGUCACCUAUGCUGGAAUGCAGUGGCAAGAUCAUGGCCCACUGCAGUCUCAAACUCCUGGGCUGAAGCGAUCCCCCUGCCUUAGCCUUCCUAGUAGCUAGGGCUACCAGCAUGCACCACCACACUCAGCUAAUUUUUAAAAAAUCUUUGUAGAGAAGGGGUCUUGGUAUGUUGCCCAAGUUGGUCUUGACCUCCUGGAUUUAAGUAAUCCUCCCAUCUCAGCCUCCCAAUUAGCUGGGACUACAGGUGCAUACCACUAUGCCCAGCUAAUUUUUAAUUUACUUUUUAAUUUUUUGUAGAGAUGGGGUCUUGCUAUGUUGCCCAGGCUGGUCUCAAACUUCUGGCUUCAAAGGAUCAUCCUGCCUUGGCCUCGGAAAUUUCUGGGAUUACAGGUGUGAGCUACUGCACCUGGCAUUAUUAAGUUUUUUUGUUUGUCUGUUUGUUUGUUUGUUUUGAGACGGAGUUUUGCUCUUGUUGCCCUGGCAGGAGUGCAGUGGCAUGAUCUUGGCUCACUGCAGCCUCUGCCUCCCGGUUUCAAGUGAUUCUCGUGCUUCAGCCUCCCAGGUAGCUGGGAUUACAGGCAUGUGCCACCAUGUCUGGCUAAUUUUGUAUUUUUAGUACAGAUGGGGUUUCACUGUGUUGGACAACCUACCAAUUUGUUUCAUUAUGGAUCAUGCUUUUGGUGUUAUAUCUAAGAAAUUUUUGCCUACUCCAUGGUCAAAAAGGCUUUCUUCUAGAUGUUUCACAGUUUUAGACUUUACAUUUAGGUCUAGAGUCCACUUGAAGUUAAAUUUUACGUAUGGCGCAAAGUAUAGUUUACUUUUCUGCUUAUGGAUAUGUUCCAGUACCAUUUGUUGAAAAAGACUAUCAUUUUUGUUUUGUUUUGUUUUUCGAGGCAGUGUCUUGCUUUGUCACUCAGGCUGGAGGCUGGAGUGCAGUAGCACAAACAUGGCUCACUGCAGCCUUGACCUCCCAGGCUCAAGUGAUCCACCUCAGCCUUCCAAGUAGCUGGGACUAUAGGCAUGUACCAGCACACCCGGCUAAUUUUUGUAUUUUUGUGGAGACUGGGUUUCACCAUGUUACCCAGGCUGGUCUUGAACUCCUGAGCUCAAGCAGUCCUCCUGCCUCAGCCUCCCCAAGUGCUGGGAUUACAGGUGUGAGCCACUGCGACUGGCCAAGACUAUCCUUUCUUGUACUGCAUUGCCUUUAUGCCUUUGUUAGAAAUCACUUGUCCACUUAAAUAUGGGUCUAUUUCUGGACUUUCAAUUCUGUUCCAUUGAUCUGUUUGUCUGUCUUUAUACCAAUAUCACACUGUCUUGAUUACUGCACUUUAUAAUAAGUGUUAAAAUCAGAUGGUGUUUGUCUUUCAACUUUAUGCUUCUUCAAAAGUUGUUGUGAUUAUUCAUUUCUUUGCACUUCCAUAUGAGUUUUAGAAUUAGUUUCUCAAUUUAUAUAUAUAUAUUUUAAACUAUUUUAUAUACAGAAAACACAAAGAAGGAAUUAAAAAUUAUAAUAAUCUUGCCACUUAGAGAUAAUUCCUGGUAAUAUUUUGGGUGUAUACAUUGUUAAUUGUUCUAUGCUUUGAAAUAUUUGCGGGGAGGAGCCAAGAUGGCCGAAUAGGAACAGCUCCGGUCUACAGCUCCCAGCGUGAGCGAUGCAGAAGACGAUGAUUUCUGUAUUUCCAUCUGAGGUACCGGGUUCAUCUCACUAGGGAGUGCCAGACAGUGGGCGCAGGUCAGUCGGUGCACGCACCGUGCGUGAGCCGAAGCAGGGCAAGGCAUUGCCUCACUUGGGAAGUGCAAGGGGUCAGGGAGCUCCCUUUCCGAGUCAAAGAAAGGGGUGAUGGACGGCACCUGGAAAAUUGGGUCACUCCCACCAAAAUACUGCGCUUUUCCGACAGGCUUAAAAAAAGGUGCACCAUGAGAUUAUAUCCCGCACCUGGCUCGGAGGGUCCUACACCCACGGAGUCUCGCUGGUUGCUAGCACAGCAGUCUGAGAUCAAACUGCAAGGCAGCAGCGAGGCUGGGGGAGGGGCGCCCGCCAUUGCCCAGGCUUGAUUAGGUAAACAAAGCAGCCGGGAAGCUCGAACUGGGUGGAGCCCACCACAGCUCAAGGAGGCCUGCCUGCCUCUGUAGGCUCCACCUCUGGGGGCAGGGCACAGACAAACAAAAAGACAGCAGUAACCUCUGCAGACUUAAAUGUCCCUGUCUGACAGCUUUGAAGAGAGCAGUGGCUCUCCCAGUACGCAGCUGGAGAUCUGAGAACGGGCAGACUGCCUCCUCAAGUGGGUCCCUGACCCCGGACCCCCGAGCAGCCUAACUGGGAGGCACCCUCCAGCAGGGGCAGACUGACACCUCACACUGCAGGUGUCCUGUUGGAGGGUACUCCAACGGACCUGCAGCUGAGGGUCCUGUCUGUUAGAAGGAAAACUAACAAACAGAAAGGACAUCCACACCAAAAACCCAUCUGUACAUCACCAUCAUCAAAGACCAAAAGUAGAUAAAACCACAAAGAUGGGGAAAAAACAGAACAGAAAAACUGGAAACUCUAAAAUGCAGAGCACCUCUCCUCCUCCAAAGGAACGCAGUUCCUCACCAGCAACGGAACAAAGCUGGAUGGAGAAUGACUUUGAUGGGCUGAGAGAAGAAGGCUUCAGACGAUCAAAUUACUCUGAGCUAUGGGAGGACAUUCAAACCAAAGGCAAAGAAGUUGAAAACUUUGAAAAAAAUUUAGAAGAAUGUAUAACUACAAUAACCAAUAGAGAGAAGUGCUUAAAGGAGCUGAUGGAGCUGAAAACCAAGGCUCGAGAACUACGUGAAGAAUGCGGAAGCCUCAGGAGCCGAUGCGAUCAACUGGAAGAAAGGGUAUCAGCGAUGGAAGAUGAAAUGAAUGAAA